CCAAGUAUCUAAUGGAGGCGAAAAUGUCGAUCGAAGUCGUUUCGUUCCGGUUAAUUCCUGUCGAAAUUUUCUGCGUCCCAAGAAUCUUCAUGCUAAAAACAACAAAGUCGAAUGGAAAACUCGAUAAGUAGCCAAACGUGGUCGAGUCUAGUGGAACACAUCGUAGGAUAUUUGAAAGUGGAUUCGAGGGAAAUGAGUUACCUAUAUAUACACAGUCAAAGGAAGUUCCAGGUACAAAAUGGCUUCUAUCUCAGGCUGAUAUUCCUAUUAAUGAGGAUACGAUCGUUACUGCUACUUGAAUCAAGUCCUUAGACAUCUAUAUGUAUAUAUAUAUAUAUAUGAAAUGAGAGAAUUCUGGUACCCGAAGAAGAUGCUGUUUUAACGAUAAGUAUAACUGUGCCACUUAUACUGAGCGUGGUAUAGCAAAGUGUAAUUGGCUCUUCGACUUUUUGGCUAUAGGAAAUCUUACGCGGAACAAAAUGGCAAUUGGAGUUUCUUAUCAGUUCUAAACUUAUUGUGGAGAACUAAGGCAGUAAGGAAAUGAGGACGUUUAUACUUGGAAAUCUCGAAAGCCAUUGUGAUUCUAAGAUUUACAGGUCGAUGGUGGUCAAUUUUAUGGCGGCGAUGCAAAAAAUAAUCUCGACGCGUGACCAGCAGCUUCAGGGGCGGCUCGUUUCAUGGGGAGCAAAAGGGUGACAGCCACUUCCUGCCUAAUUGCCAGCGGGUCCCUCGUCGCUCGGAAAUCUCCUCGAAAUAUUACUUCCGGUAGAAGCCACCCUUUCCAAAUCGCUAUAGUUUCGUCGCGCUCGAGUGAUAACUCGACUCUCCAUUAAGAUGGAGGAGGACUUAGCUGGGAAGGUCUUGCGGAUCGAAGCCAAUAAGUCCUUUGGCUUCGUUUCUAAUUCGACUUUGGAUCUCCCUUUGCUGCUGAGUAUCCUCGAUUCAUCUCCAUACCAAUUCGUGGUAAAGCAUUUGUAUGGCGGCAGGACCGCCCCAAAUAAGGGUACAGCGGAGAUGUUGGAUAUCGCCGCACCUUGGGACGCAUAACCGUAAUUAACGGGAGGGCAAAAAUAGGGGCGGAUAGUGGAGGG